UACGGGGGGGGUAAGCGUUGUUCGGAAUUACUGGGCGUAAAGGGCUCGUAGGCGGCCAACUAAGUCAUACGUGAAAUCCCUCAGCUUAACCGGGGAACUGCGUGUGAUACUGGAUGGCUUGGAUUUGGGAGAGGGAUGCGGAAUUCCAGGUGUAGCGGUGAAAUGCGUAGAUAUCUGGAGGAACACCGGUGGCGAAGGCGGCAUCCUGGACCAAUAUUGACGCUGAGGAGCGAAAGCCAGGGGAGCAAACGGG
rnacentral:rRNA from 1 species